rnacentral:rRNA from 1 species
UACGUAGGCAGCGAGCGUUGUUCGGAAUUACUGGGCGUAAAGAGUGUGUAGGCGGUGCUCCCAGUCUGUUGUGAAAUCUCCCGGCUUAACUGGGAGGGUGCAGCGGAAACUAGAGUGCUAGAGGGUGGGAGAGGUAAGCGGAAUUCCUGGUGUAGCGGUGAAAUGCGUAGAUAUCAGGAGGAACACCUGUGGUGUAGACAGCUUACUGGACCACUCUGACGCUGAGACACGAAAGCGUGGGUAGCAAACAGG